rnacentral:rRNA from 1 species
UACAGAGGUCCCAAGCGUUGUUCGGAUUCACUGGGCGUAAGGGGUGCGUAGGUGGCUUGGUAAGUUUGAUGUGAAAUCUCCGGGCUUAACCCGGAAAUGGCAUUGAAUACUAUUGAGCUGGAGGUUUGGAGGGGGGACUGGAAUUCUCGGUGUAGCAGUGAAAUGCGUAGAUAUCGAGAGGAACACCAGUGGCGAAGGCGAGUCCCUGGACAACACCUGACACUGAGGCACGAAAGCUAGGGGAGCAAACAGG